CUGUGUUUGACUUUGGCAGGCUGUAUAAAACUCAGAAUAGGGGGGAGGUAUCUGUUUUCAGUCUGUUUUUGUAAAUUCAGCUCAAAAAUAGCCAGGGGUCAAUAGGUUAAUCAAAAAGAGAUUAAAUGCACUAGAGAAUCUAUCCGUUGUAAUACCAUUAUCACCUCGAAUUUUUUUUGUUUUCUGAGGGACGAUUACUAGCGAAAUUCCCUCUAAAACAAUUGAAGGUUCUAAAUUUCCCUCAUGUAUUAAUGAUGAGGGAGAUUUAGAAAAAGACGAAAGAAUCUUUUGUCUUCUGAAUUUCCCUCUACAUCAGUGCAUGAGAUACCCUGGGUACCAGAGGCUCCGAGCUUCGCGGCGACAACGAUUUGAGCGAAGCACGGAGCAUCUGGUACCCGGGGUAUGCAUGAGGGAAAUUUAGAACCAAGAUGCUUGUCUUCUAGUUUCCACCAGAGAAACAAAUAGAAGGCAGCUUCCUGAGAAGAGCAGGAAUAGACCCUGGGCUUAAAGACCAGAGUAUUUGAUAUCGUGAUACCUAAACAACGUUUGACGUGCUAAUGACGUAAAAGAACUAAACUGUAGAUAUAUAGAGCAACUAUGUAAAUCAACUAUGCUUGAUUUGGGAAUUAUUCGUGAAAAUGUGGUGGUCUCUAGAGGGAUAAAAAAAACAAUGCCUGUGCAAUAUCCUGAUUCAUUGAACCGUAUUCGCUCAUCCAACCUAACAUUAGUCGUAAUUGCGAAUUUAUUUCCUCGGUGAUCAUGGUAUUACAAAGUUAUAGCAUGGCAUCUCGGGGAAUUUGAUGAUUUAAUGUCCCUCCACCUUGUGCCAUGCUAUAACUUAUAAUCAGCCCACACUGCCUAAAGUGCGAUGCUGACAUACGGGGUUCCACAAUCAUGCAAGAACUAUAGACGGGGAUGUCUAAGAGGUCUAAGCCCAGUCCAUGUCGGUCUCAGUGGGUUUCCUGUGGCGGGAAAAACGGAGGUGUGAUGUCAGGAUACAUCGUCCCAGCACAGGGAACCCGAAUUCGAGGAUUCUGCAGUGAAGCCGUAAUCACUACGUACUAUCAAAUCACUUAGAGCAUAAAGAUUUGUAACCCAUCAAAAUCUUGCCGGUCUAAAAUGAUUGGUAUCUCGUUUAUUUCUACUUUCUGCCAUUUUAAAUUAGAUUUCAUAUAAUUUAUAGUGUUAAAUAAAUAUAUCAUUCAAAUAUAGCUUACUUUUUUAGACUUUUUUAUUUUAUUUUUUAUUUUUUUAAGCUUUCGUAGCAAGAUUAGUGCAAAUUAUGGAUACAUAAAUACAUUUCGCACAGUUUAUUAAUUUGAAGUAUUUCGCUUUAUUUGUUGUCGUCGAUGUCGAUGAACAGCAAUGAGACAAAAAGAGUAGAACUUUAGUUACAAGUAUGUCGGCUAAAUAGAAAUAUAGAACAGUAAGGAAUGACAGGUGAUAUUUUUAAUGCAAAAAAGGAAUAUGAUAGAAUGCAUUAUAUAGAGAUUUAUUUUUAUAUAGCUUUGUAAUUCCAGCUCUGUAAAAUGAUGAUCCCAAAAGGUAACUAUGGAUAAACAUACUUUGAAAAGGUGACGUGUUUGCUCAAAAAUUUUGUGAAAUCGAAUUUAUUUAAAAUACUGUUCUUAAGACUUUGUAAUUUAUAAACUUUUGUAUGAACGUUCUCUUUAUUGGUUUCAUGUUGGUAUGAAUAGAACCGUUUACAGAGCUGGAGAGAUCCACGU